UCUAGUGAUGAUGGCAAAGAGGUCACACCCGUUCCCAUACCGAACACGGAAGUUAAGCUCUUUAGCGCCGAUGGUAGUUGGGGGCUUCUCCCUGUGAGAGUAGGACGUCGCUAGGC
rnacentral:rRNA from 1 species